rnacentral:rRNA from 1 species
UACGGAGGGUGCAAGCGUUAUCCGGAUUCACUGGGUUUAAAGGGUGCGUAGGUGGGCAGGUAAGUCAGUGGUGAAAUCUCCGAGCUUAACUCGGAAACUGCCGUUGAUACUAUUUGUCUUGAAUAUUGUGGAGGUAAGCGGAAUAUGUCAUGUAGCGGUGAAAUGCUUAGAUAUGACAUAGAACACCAAUUGCGAAGGCAGCUUACUACACAAACGAUUGACGCUGAGGCACGAAAGCGUGGGGAUCAAACAGG